rnacentral:rRNA from 1 species
AUUGAACGCUGGCGGCAGGCCUAACACAUGCAAGUCGAACGCGUGGCGGACGGGUGAGUAAUGUCUGGGAAACUGCGUGAUGGAGGGGGAUAACUACUGGAAAGGGUAGCUAAUACCGCAUACCAUCAGAUGCGCCUAGAUGGGAUUAGCUUGUUGGUGGGGUAACGGCUCACCAAGGCGACGAUCCCUAGCUGGUCUGAGAGGAUGACCAGCCACACUGGAACUGAGACACGGUCCAGACUCCUACGGGAGGCAGCAGUGGGGAAUAUUGCACAAUGGGCGCAAGCCUGAUACAGCCAUGCCGCGUGUAUGAAGAAGGCCUUCGGGUUGUAAAGUACUUUCAGCGGGGAGGCGUUACCCGCAGAAGAAGCACCGGCUAACUCCGUGCCAGCCGCCGCGGUAAUAC